GUGUCAGCAGCCGCGGUAAUACGAAGGGAGCUAGCGUUGUUCGGAAUCACUGGGCGUAAAGCGCACGUAGGCGGAUUUGCCAGUCAGGGGUGAAAUCCCGGGGCUCAACCUCGGAACUGCCUUUGAUACAGCAAGUCUUGAGUUCGAGAGAGGUGGGUGGAAUUCCUAGUGUAGAGGUGAAAUUCGUAGAUAUUAGGAAGAACACCGGUGGCGAAGGCGGCCCACUGGCUCGACACUGACGCUGAGGUGCGAAAGCGUGGGGAGCAAACAGGAUUAGAAACCCGCGUAGUCC
rnacentral:rRNA from 1 species